rnacentral:miRNA from 1 species
UAGCCGUGUUUGGGACCC